ensembl:lncRNA
GAAGCUACGGCGGUGCGAACUGGCGAGUCCUGAACCCCCGCUUUUCCGAGCGGAGACAACUUUCACUCCGACUGUGGGGACCGACACCGGCGCUGUGACGCUCCUCGGCUGGGAAAUCCGCCGCUAGGGGGAGUGAGGAGUUAAACCAGAGCGGGGGGAGGAGGGAGGCUAGAGGUUCAACCUCAACAGAUGACUGUUUUUUUUUUUAGAAGAGAAGACUACUCUUCAUACUACAAGUCUUUGUUAUGUACUUCUAGCCAACAGAGUGAAGCUACAGCAUCAUCAUUCCGUCUAUGAGCCCGGAAAGUUCUCUAAACAUCCGACGGCGUGUGCUGCCUUUAAAUACGCCUCUGGUGUGUAACCUGGCUGGGUUCUGUGCUGUGAUAAAGGGCGAGCUGCCACCAUUUGGAGCCAGACCAGGGCUGCUCCUGGACGCAGCGAUUAGAACACAAAUGACUGAUAACUCGGGGGCAGAGGGGCGCAGGAGCCGAGAUCUGCAUCACAAACCUCCAAAACUGCAGAGACACACGGAGAGAAAGGAUGAAAAGUCGGGAAGGGGAUGUGAAGAGUACAUUUAGAAGUCAGACUCAACACAGAUCUCCAGGGAUUCGUAGAGUAGGAUUUGUUUUUGUUGCUUUUGGUCCGUAGUGAAAACGCACUCCAUUACUGAACUAAUCAUAAACCUUGUAAAAUCAACUCUUUGGAAAUAUGGGCUUCAUCGAACGGCUCUCUUUCCCCUGUAAGUUAAUUAUGUUGUUGUGCAGGUGAUUGUACUGCUGUGCCUAAUUUCUUAUAGAAACCCAGAGGGGGGGAAAAAAGAGAAACAGGAACUUUCUUUCAAAAAUCAAUAGCAAGACAAUUUAAGAGAAAUAAACUCUACUCCCUCUCGUUUAAUCUCAUACUUUCUGAGACUUAAUAAAAACAAAAGCUUUACAGUGAUGAAGCACACUGGCCACAGCCAUAUGAUCUAUCUAGAUUUUUUUUUCAGGCAACUUCUUGACCUCUUUCUUGUAAUGUUCAAGAUACUGGAUGGAUCAGGAAUUUCAGAUUCCAACAAGGCGACAGAAGAAGUCAUGUUAUGAAACAUGUAUUUCACGCUCUCCUCAUUGCAAUAAAUGACUGCAUGAGAGAAGCAAGUCAAAAUCACUCUCGUGAUUCUUUUCCCCCUGUUUUCAGGUAAAAGUGUUUAAAAGUUGAUAUAUUUGCAAUCUGUUCAUUGCUAAGAUAUUUAAUAGGUAACCCUUAUUGUUUUGUAAGCUUUAGAAACAUUAUAUUACAGUUGUUUUGUGCAUAUAGACACGGCGGUUUUGAGCCUCAGUUUUAUACUGUAUAAUGUCCAUUAAGCUAACGGCAGGAGCUAGAAAUGGUGCUAUUGUCAACCAUUUUGUCAGGAAACCUGUUCAGGAAUAUGUAUAGUAAACACUUUAGUAUUUUGGUUUAUUAUUUAGCUUUUCCUUCCACCAUGUGACAUUAAGCAGUACAGAAUGUGAAACAUUUAUGUUCAUUUUGAUGGCAAUAAACGCCUGCAUGAGAGAAGUCAAAAUCACUCUUGUGAUUCUUUUCCCCGUUUUCAGGGGUGUAACAAUAGCAUGUCUCAGUUUUAUUUUUAUCUGAACAAAGAUGCAUAAAAAGUUUCUCUUAGCUGAUCAAGUCUGUAAAAACUGUUUACAGCAC